CACGCCUAACACAUGCAAGUCGAACGAAGUAGCAAUACUUAGUGGCAGACGGGUGAGUAACAUGUAGGUAUCUGCCCUUUGGCCUGGAAUAACACGAGGAAACUUGUGCUAAUACCGGAUAAGUCUUUACGGAGAAAGCUUUAUGCACCAUUGGAUGAGCCUGCACUUGAUUAGUUUGUUGGUGGGGUAAUGGCCUACCAAGACUAUGAUCAAUAGCUGAUUUGAGAGGAUGAUCAGCCACAUUGGGACUGAGACACGGCCCAAACUCCUACGGGAGGCAGCAGUGGGGAAUCUUGCACAAUGGAGGAAACUCUGAUGCAGCGAUGCCGCGUGAGUGAAGAAGGCCCUUGGGUUGUAAAGCUCUUUCGUCGGGGAAGAAAAUGACUGUACCCGAAUAAGAAGGUCCGGCUAACUUCGUGCCAGCAGCCGCGGUAAUACGAAGGGACCUAGCGUAGUUCGGAAUUACUGGGCUUAAAGAGUUCGUAGGUGGUUGAAAAAGUUAGUGGUGAAAUCCCAGAGCUUAACUCUGGAACUGCCAUUAAAACUUUUCAGCUAGAGUAUGAUAGAGGAAAGCAGAAUUUCUAGUGUAGAGGUGAAAUUCGUAGAUAUUAGAAAGAAUACCAAUUGCGAAGGCAGCUUUCUGGAUCAUUACUGACACUGAGGAACGAAAGCAUGGGUAGCGAAGAGGAUUAGAUACCCUCGUAGUCCAUGCCGUAAACGAUGUGUGUUAGACGUUGGAAAUUUAUUUUCAGUGUCGCAGCGAAAGCGAUAAACACACCGCCUGGGGAGUACGACCGCAAGGUUAAAACUCAAAUGAAUUGACGGGGACCCGCACAAGUAGUGGAGCAUGUGGUUUAAUUCGAAGAUACGCGCAGAACCUUACCAACACUUGACAUGUUCGUCGCGACUCUAAGAGAUUAGAGUUUUCGGUUCGGCCGGACGAAACACAGGUGCUGCAUGGCUGUCGUCAGCUCGUGUCGUGAGAUGUUGGGUUAAGUCCCGCAACGAGCGCAACCCUCACUUUUAGUUGCCAUCAUUAAGUUGGGCACUCUGAAAGAACUGCCAGUGAUAAGCUGGGGGAAGGUGGGGAUGACGUCAAGUCCUCAUGGCCCUUACGUGUUGGGCUACACACGUGCUACAAUGGUAUCUACAACAGGAAGCAAGACUGCGAAGUUAAGCAAAUCCCUAAAAGAUACCUCAGUUCGGAUUGCACUCUGCAACUCGAGUGCAUGAAGCUGGAAUUACUAGUAAUCGUGGAUCAGCGUGCCACGGUGAAUGCGUUCCCGGGUCUUGUACACACCGCCCGUCACACCAUGGGAGUUGGUUCUACCUUAAGGCAAG
rnacentral:rRNA from 1 species